AACGAACGCUGGCGGCAUGCCUAACACAUGCAAGUCGAACGAGACCUUCGGGUCUAGUGUCGCACGGGUGCGUAACGCGUGGGAACCUGCCCUUAGGUUCGGAAUAACUCCCCGAAAGGGGUGCUAAUACCGGAUAAUGUCUUCGGACCAAAGAUUUAUCGCCUUUGGAUGUGCCCGCGUUGGAUUAGCUAGUUGGUAGGGUAAAAGCCUACCAAGGCGACGAUCCAUAGCUGGUCUGAGAGGAUGAUCAGCCACACUGGGACUGAGACACGGCCCAGACUCCUACGGGAGGGAGCAGUGGGGAAUAUUGGACAAUGGGCGAAAGGCUGAUCCAGCAAUGACGGGUGAGUGAUGAAGGCAGGAGGGUUGUAAAGCUCUUUUAACCGGGAUGAUAAUGACAGUACCGGGAGAAUAAGCUCCGGCUAACUCCGUG
rnacentral:rRNA from 1 species